GACGAACGCUGGCGGCGUGCCUAAUACAUGCAAGUCGAGCGGAUCUUGAAAAGCUUGCUUUUCCUGAUCAGCGGCGGACGGGUGAGUAACACGUGGGCAACCUGCCUGUAAGACUGGGAUAACUCCGGGAAACCGGGGCUAAUACCGGACAAUCCUUUUUCUCUUAUGAGUAAAAGCUGAAAGACGGUUUCGGCUGUCCCUGACAGAUGGGCCCGCGGCGCAUUAGCUAGUUGGUGAGGUAACGGCUCACCAACGCGACGAUACGUAGCCGACCUGUGCGGGUGUUCGGCGACACCGGGAGUAAGAACCGCCCCCGACUCUUACGGGAGGAAGCAGUGGGGAAUCGUCCGCACUGGACAAAAGUCUGCCGGGGCCACGACGCGUGAGCGAUGAAGGCCUUCGGGUCGUAAAGCUCUGUUGUCAGGGAAGAACAAUUGCCAUAGUAACUGAUGGCCCCGUGACAGUACCUGACCAGAAAGGCACGGCUAACUACGUGCCAGCAGCCGCCGUAAAAC
rnacentral:rRNA from 1 species